rfam:Triticum aestivum genome assembly, contig: Triticum_aestivum_CS42_TGACv1_scaffold_221069_3B
UAAAUACUCCCUCUGUCCGAAAAUACUUGUCACCAAAAUGGAUAAAAAGAGAUGUAUUUAAAACUUAAAUAUGUCAAGAUACAUUUCCUUUUAUCCAUUUUGAUGACAAGUAUUUCCAGACGGAGGGAAUAUUUG